GACGUAGGGUGCAAGCGUUGUCCGGAUUUACUGGGCGUAAAGCGCACGUAGGCGGCUUGUUAAGUCAGGGGUGAAAUCCUGGAGCUCAACUCCAGAACUGCCUUUGAUACUGGCGAGCUUGAGUUCGGGAGAGGUGAGUGGAACUGCGAGUGUAGAGGUGAAAUUCGUAGAUAUUCGCAAGAACACCAGUGGCGAAGGCGGCUCACUGGCCCGAUACUGACGCUGAGGUGCGAAAGCGUGGGGAGCAAACAGG
rnacentral:rRNA from 1 species